rnacentral:rRNA from 1 species
UGGGGAAUCUUGCGCAAUGGGCUAACGCCUGACGCAGCAACGCCGCGUGGAGGAUGAAGGUCUUUGGAUUGUAAACUCCUGUCAGCAGGGAAAAAGCGAAUCGGCCUAACACGCCGGUGAGUUGAUUGUAGCUGCAGAGGAAGCCCCGGCUAACUCUGUGCCAGCAGCCGCGGUAAUACAGAGGAGCCAAGCGUUGUCCGGAUUGACUGGGCGUAAAGCGCACGCAGGCGGUCGCGCGCGUGGGGUGUGAAAUCUGGCCGCUUAACGGCCAGGCGCCAUCCCAUACGGCGCGACUGGAGCGAUGCAGAGGUCGAUGGAAUUGCCGGUGUAGUGGUGAAAUGCGUAGAGAUCGGCAGGAACACCCAGGGGGAAACCAGUCGACUGGGCAUCUACUGACGCUGAGGUGCGAGAGCGUGGGGAGCGAAC